UGAAAUGUAAAUUUUAUUUCAUUUGAAUUAAGGCUUAGUAGGCUUGUAUGGCUAGGGGCUCCCAUAUCGGACAACACAGCUGUGUGCUUCUGAAACCCUCCUCCCAUGCUGGCACCUGGGAUCUUCACAGCACCGCGUGUGUGAGGAAAUGGACCUCUCAGCGAGAUGAAGGGGUCCCAGCCAGCACUUGCAGAGUCCCCUUCUUGACGUCACGCCCUCGGCUCUUUCCACACUGCCCUUCUAGACACAGUCAACACCACUACAAAGAAAAAUAGAAACAAAAAGGAGGACAGUUCCUGUUCGAACAUGAAUUAAAUGCCAUAUUCUUA